rnacentral:rRNA from 1 species
CAUAAGACUGGGAUAACUCCGGGAAACCGGGGCUAAUACCGGAUAACAUUUUGAACCGCAUGGUUCGAAAUUGAAAGGUGGCUUCGGCUGCCACUUAUGGAUGGACCCGCGUCGCAUUAGCUAGUUGGUGAGGUAACGGCUCACCAAGGCAAUGAUGCGUAGCCGACCUGAGAGGGUGAUCGGCCACACUGGGACUGAGACACGGCCCAGACUCCUACGGGAGGCAGCAGU